rnacentral:rRNA from 1 species
AGUGAACGCUGGCGGUAGGCCUAACACAUGCAAGUCGAACGGCAGCACAGUAAGAGCUUGCUCUUACGGGUGGCGAGUGGCGGACGGGUGAGGAAUACAUCGGAAUCUACUUUUUCGUGGGGGAUAACGUAGGGAAACUUACGCUAAUACCGCAUACGACCUACGGGUGAAAGCAGGGGAUCUUCGGACCUUGCGCGAUUGAAUGAGCCGAUGUCGGAUUAGCUAGUUGGCGGGGUAAAGGCCCACCAAGGCGACGAUCCGUAGCUGGUCUGAGAGGAUGAUCAGCCACACUGGAACUGGGACACGGUCCAGAGUCCUACGGGAGGCAGCAGUGGGGAAUGUUGGACAAUGGGCGCAAGCCUGAUCCAGCCAUACCGCGUGGGUGAAGAAGGCCUUCGGGUUGUAAAGCCCUUUUGUUGGGAAAGAAAAGCAGCAGGUUAAUACCCCGCUGUUCUGACGGUACCCAAAGAAUAAGCACCGGCUAACUUCGUG